rnacentral:tRNA from 5 species
UGCCCACUUGGCGGAAUUGGCAGACGCGCAGCGUUCAGGUCGCUGUUCUGGCAACAGAGUGAAGGUUCGACUCCUUUAGUGGGCAU